CGAUGGGGUAGAGGUCGCGGAUUUUAAUAGUAAGACGGACGAGAUGUGAGAGACAUCUUUGACUCCGUUUGAAAGGAAAAGCCGCCGAAGCAUGCUUUUGUCUCUUAAAAAAACAUGCUGGGUCUGUCUCCGAAUAGGAACAGAACUGUCAUGAUUAGACCUACCAGCUAAUCAUGUUGAGCUAUCUUUCGG
rnacentral:ncRNA from 2 species